UCAGCGAGAAAGCCCAGCUCGGCGCAGGCUCAGUGCUCACCGCCGCAGUCCCGGACGGAGGAGGGGGGUUCGGGAGCGCAGCGUCUUCGCAGCGGGUUAAGUAGGAUUAGUACCAAAUUCCUAUUAUAUUUGCCAAGCAACUUGAAUUUGUCAAAAUUCCCCCUCGUUGUUCUGGAGCUCCGUGAGGAGGAAAUUUUGAUCACAGUGUAAGAUCCAGACAUGCCAGUACGUAGGAAUACCAGCAUACUGCAUUACACUGGCUUCCUGCACUGGAAAUACAACUGCGAACCGCAGGUCCCGCUGUUCCCGUCCCUUUGUGUUUUUAAACGCAGCCAGGAAACUUAAUGUAUUCGCCAGGGAAGGGGCGGGAUGAGAGCUUUUUUAACCUCCCCGCCAUAAACUUUAAUCGGAUUCCAGGCUGUUGCACGGCAUGGACGCUCGCCUUCUCUCCUGCGUCUCCUUCCCCGUUGUUUCUACUACGGACUCCUUGCGAGUGCCUCUUUCAAGCGAAUGAGUGAUUUCUUUCUCUUGCCAUGUGCAAUUGCUCCCCCUUCCUUUCCUACCCUCGCUGGCCUCUCUUACACACACUAUGCCUUUCACACGCGGUCUGCGCCCCCCAGCCCCCCCUCCUUUCUUUCUUUUUUGCAGUGUCUUCACAUGCAAUCUCUCUCUGAAUGUGCAAUGUCUUUCCUGCUCGGGAGUGCUGCGUCCUUCACAGUGGAUUGGUUCCUCUUUCGGAGCAGAGGAGAUCAUAGAAGAUCUGUCAUGUCAGUACAAUCAUGACUUCGUGAUGCUCCCUGUUGAGCAGAAGAUAAAAUACUCAAGCAAGAUGGUAACUCUGAGAAGUUCUGAAGAAGAACCUUUGAUAUUGUAAUUCAAGCAUUGUUAUUGAUAACUGAAUGCUGUGCAGCUCUAUUCCUUUCUUUCACAAUUUUCCAGCAUGCUUCUUUGGUGAAAGAAAAUCAUUUCAAAGGAAGGAAGGAAGGAAGAAAGGAAGAAAAAAUGGCUCUUUCAAGCAUUGCUGGAAGAAGUGGCUUAAUGUUCUAAACAUAAUGGAAAUGUCUGAAUUUGCUGAGCCAAUGAUUUAAAUUGAGGUAUGUUUGAGUGAAACCUUAUUUGAGAUGUGAGCACUGAUUUCCCCCCAAUUUAGAGUGGAUCUUUUUAGAAGAAAUUUUAAACACUCCCUCUGUGUUGGCUGUGUGAGGGUGCUGCUGAGUCCUAAUGCAGUUGGCAAUGUGUAUGUCCUAGAAGCAGUGCAGAGCAUUCUGCCUCUGCACACUUCUGUAGAAAUGCUGGGGGAAAGCCAGCAUUGUAUCAAAGCCAUGAAGACUAAAACUUCAUUUUUAAAGCAUUUUUACUUUUUGCAUCCUCACCAUUAAUAUUUGGGUUUUUUUUUCCCCUUUUUUCCCCCACCCUCCUCUAAGGAAACAGAAAACCUGCCACAGUAGAAUAGAUUUCAGUCCUGUUAUCAGAAAAAGUUAUUGAUUUGUACUCCUCCCCUCAUCUGUUUUUGCUAUCUAAGUAUUGUAAAGUUUUCCUAUAACUAAGGAAAGG